UACGGAGGGUGCAAGCGUUAUCCGGAUUCACUGGGUUUAAAGGGUGCGUAGGUGGAAUGGUAAGACAGUGGUGAAAUCUCCAAGCUUAACUUGGAAACUGCCGUUGAUACUAUCAUUCUUGAAUAUCGUGGAGGUGAGCGGAAUAUGUCAUGUAGCGGUGAAAUGCUUAGAUAUGACAUAGAACACCGAUUGCGAAGGCAGCUUACUACGCAUAUAUUGACGCUGAGGCACGAAAGCGUGGGGAUCAAACAGG
rnacentral:rRNA from 1 species